AGAUCCGCGCCCCGGGACGCCUCGCCGGGCUCAUCUUGGGGCGCCAAGAGCGCGAGCGCGGUCGCGGAGCGUGGCGGACGAUCCGGUUCUACACCGAGAACGGCUUUUCCCAGGGGCUGUACCCGGAGAACGGCUGGUCCACGUUCGCCUUCUUCGGGAGGUCCGUCUUCCACCUGAGCGAGGAACUGGACAUACACGUCGGCGUCCGCAACGGGAGACCUGCCCCACGGCUCCGUCAUGCGGUGCCUUCUUUCCGAGAGGAGGACCUGCCCGACGGCUUCGUCGUGUGCGUCCGCGCCGGCCGCCAAGGGAGGCUCACCCCACUCGUCAUCGACCUGCCCCACGGCGGCGACGGCGAGACCCUCGAGAUUAUCGUCGUGCUCUCCGGGACUCAAAGUGAGAGCCUCUCUCUGACCCUCUCUCUCUCUCUCCAUG
rnacentral:lncRNA from 1 species